rnacentral:lncRNA from 1 species
UAAUCGAAUAAUUCAUUGCAACAGUGUUUCUAAUUUUGGUUGAAUUUGUCUAAUUAUUCCAUCUUGAUUUCCAGUGUUUACAGGGGCACCAUCACUUCCAAUAGCUCUGAGAGAAUUGGCACUGCCAGAUUCAACAAUUGUCUCAUUCAACUCAUUUGCAAUUUGUGGUGUUUUUCCUCAUAUUGGAGUGAAAUGAUCUCUGUAUAUAGUUUCGGGUUCUAAAAUAACAGUAAUAUGCACUAGAGGGAGAGAGAGCCAACGGACCAUACAAAAUUAUCUGGAAAAACAAGAAUAUUAGUCUAUUCUUGGGGGGGAGGGGUAUGAAAUGAAGGAAUUAAUGGGGUAAUAAAUGUGUCGUUGGAUUGUAAUAAUAAUAGAAAUUAAGUAUGUUGUUGAAGGCGUACAAAAACAAAAACAAAAAGUAUCUCCAUUCUUCUUUUUACAAGGACUCUAGGACAGCUCCAAGUGAAUAAAAAAUGGAAUGGGGAUCUGGUGGAUAUAUCCUCUUACGAGGCUUUAAAAAAUUUAUCUCAGCCCUCAAUACCUGGAUGAAGUCUUUUCUGCCUACUUCUCUCUGGUAAAGGAAUUGAAUAGCUGAGUGAAAGAUACCCUUCUUGGAAAAUUCAUCUGUAUUUAUUACUCUUGGGUUAAAAUGUAAUAGCUCAUUAGGGCCCGGAAUAGGAAGCACAUAACUUAAAAUUACGACCAUGAUUAUCCCAUGUCUUUCAAAUACUCUCCGCAUGGUUUUAUCCCCGAAAGGAUUUUUAUUGGCCCCAUGCAUACUCUGUCAGAGAAGUAGCAUUCUGUAACUUCCAGGAACUUUUCCUUAAUUAUUUUAGACUAGAAGUCCUCACUGUCGAGGAAUACACUUAAUGUCUAGAGUUUCAAAUCCCUAGCCAUGUGUCGGAGUAUUAACUAUAUAUCUUACUCUGUAAAAAAUUAAAGACUUAUACACCAGAUCGUCUUUAAUCUUAUAUACUUCAUCACCAAGUUCGACUGAUACUGGAAUAUACAUAAUUAUAGGAAAUAAAUUUUGGAAGAA